CCACUAUAUCAUCUCUACCGGAAUUUGUUAACUUUUGAAAAACUAAUUAAGAACUCACAUUUCCUUGUUUCAGGACACCUGCAGAGUGGGGAGGGGGACCUUGUGCACAUAGAAAAACACUGGAGAAGCCAGGAAAGUUACACACACAGCUUACCUCUUCAGUGGACUGGAAGGCCAGGAGUGGUGGAAUCAGCCUGUGGUCCUUUGCUGUCUGUUUUAAGGUCUCAGUAAUCUGAAAGCUGCUGGAAACAUCGGGCUCCCAGCAGUGAAGAGAUGCUGGCCUCCUGGGUACAGACCAAGUUUCCAUUUCUGUGAAAACGAUGGUGUGAUCCCUGGAGCUGUAGCAGCUUGCUUGAGGCAGCCCUCCCAUUAACCAGAAAGUACCAGGAGACUGCGGUGAUAAGGAGACCCACCACCAACUGCUUCCUUCUAGCCUUGAGGUGAGAAGUCUGUUAGUCAGGUUCUGCUUCGAACAAACACUUCCA
rnacentral:lncRNA from 1 species